GGAAUCUUGGACAAUGGGGGCAACCCUGAUCCAGCCAUGCCGCGUGAGCGAUGAAGGCCUUAGGGUUGUAAAGCUCUUUCAGCGGGGAAGAUAAUGACGGUACCCGCAGAAGAAGCCCCGGCUAACUUCGUGCCAGCAGCCGCGGUAAUACGAAGGGGGCUAGCGUUGUUCGGAAUCACUGGGCGUAAAGCGCACGUAGGCGGACUUUCAAGUCAGGGGUGAAAUCCCGGGGCUCAACCUCGGAACUGCCUUUGAUACUGUUGGUCUCUAGUCCGAUAGAGGUGGGUGGAAUUCCUAGUGUAGAGGUGAAAUUCGUAGAUAUUAGGAAGAACACCGGUGGCGAAGGCGGCCCACUGGAUCGGUACUGACGCUGAGGUGCGAAAGCGUGGGGAGCAAA
rnacentral:rRNA from 1 species